UACGUAGGGUCCGAGCGUUGUCCGGAGUUACUGGGCGUAAAGCGCGCGCAGGCGGCUUGGCAAGCAUGGCGUGAAAGCCCCCGGCUUAACUGGGGAGAGUCGUCGUGGACUGCCAGGCUUGAGGGCGGUAGGGGUUGGUGGAAUUCCCGGUGUAGUGGUGAAAUGCGUAGAGAUCGGGAGGAACACCCGUGGCGAAGGCGGCCAACUGGGCCGACCCUGACGCUGAGGCGCGAAGGCGUGGGGAGCGAACGG
rnacentral:rRNA from 1 species